rnacentral:rRNA from 1 species
UACGUAGGGUGCAAGCGUUAUCCGGAAUUAUUGGGCGUAAAGAGCUCGUAGGCGGUUUGUCGCGUCUGCUGUGAAAACUGGGGGCUCAACCCCCAGCCUGCAGUGGGUACGGGCAGACUAGAGUGCGGUAGGGGAGAUUGGAAUUCCUGGUGUAGCGGUGGAAUGCGCAGAUAUCAGGAGGAACACCGAUGGCGAAGGCAGAUCUCUGGGCCGUAACUGACGCCUGAGGAGCGAAAGCAUGGGGAGCGAACAGG